rnacentral:lncRNA from 1 species
UCGUAGCAUGGGCGAACCAAUUCAUCAAUGAAAAGGCUACUCCACCUUCUUUUUGGAAAACCUAUUAUAACUGAAUUGAAUGAGUUGGGGUAGUCAUAAUUAGAGUUUUAAAUGUUAAGCACUUUCAGUACGUACAAAAAGCAAAACCGAAAAAUGGCAUAACAUGGUAUCCAGAUAGUUUGAAGAAUGCUUUGGAGGAUGUACGUGGAGCUUCUCCUUAUUAAUCAGUUAAUGGUAAUAUCAUGUUUCCGAAGUUAAUGGAUUUGAUGACAUAGAAGUUCAUUUCUAAGAUACUUUUUAUGCUCAUCCUGUAAUAAUGCUGUAAUGGUUCAUAGUAUAUACAAGAAAAAGUCGUAGCACUAUAAUUAAUGAUAUGCAAUCUCCUCCGGACUGAUGCCUCAGUCCACGGGUCGACUCCGAGCUGCAAUACCGGAAUAUUUAAAAAGAGGCUAAUUUACAACCUUUUCAUCAUAAUGAGACCUUCCAUUUACUUUCAU